AGUAACUUCGGCUUGGGCUGGAUAAAACAUGCUCACAGCAUCUGUGGGAUUUAAACAUGUUUCUGUCGAAGCUUCGUGAUUUAAAGUCUCGAAUGUGAUCUUGGCACUAGAACACGAACAGUAGAAUGCUAAAAACUAAAGUGCAGUUUUCCUCCGCUCCACUGGGCGGCGCAAGCGGGGUUCAGCUUCGGCUGCUUGAAGACGCUCGAGUCACAACAACACGCGCAGCUCCUGCAGAUGACCGCUGUUUAUAUCGCUUCAACAGCACAUAUUUCAGCUCAGCUGCAACUGAAAUCCGAUGAAACGCUGGACCCGAGUGUCAAGCGACUCACCUAGUAAGUGCUGUGCUGUGGAUUGUAAAGCAGAGCUCUGGGACGUGUGGACAGACAGAGACUGUAAUGAUGCUCAUCUGCUCGUGGACAGUCUGUCUAAAAGCAUAACCGCUGCUGGUCGCGGCGCCGGACGCUCCAGAGGGAGACCGUACUGGUAUCCCCCUUCUUCAGGCGCACCUUCACACUCACUCAUAUCGCAGAGACCCGGCUGGGAUCAAACCAGCAACCUCUGAACCCGUGAGGCAGCGCUCUUACCAGUGAGCCACAGGUCUCUUGUCGAGCUGUGUGAAGGAACUUCUGUUUGACUCUUUACCUGUAUGUGACCCGUGUUUCUCCAAUAAAGCAGUUAAAGUGUGUGGGAUCUGAACCCGCGUCUCCAGCACAGCCGUGUCUUCAGACACGUGUGUUUAUCCACUGAACCAGCACAGACUUCACAUUCAUUUCUGGAGUUUGAGUGGUUUUGUUGGAUGAGAUCAAUGUAAAGUAAGCAAUAGUGGGAUCUGAACUCAGAUCUUCAUGAUUGAAACACAGCGCUUGAUCUCCUGUGCCUCUGAGUCUGUGGAGCUGCUGAAGGUUUUAAACAGGGUUUUAUUGAGAGAUCUGUGUUAAACGAUGCAUGACUUUGUCUGUUGUAGGAUUUGAACCCAG
rnacentral:tRNA from 1 species